rnacentral:rRNA from 1 species
AUUGAACGCUGGCGGCAUGCCUUACACAUGCAAGUCGAACGGUAACAGGUCUUCGGAUGCUGACGAGUGGCGAACGGGUGAGUAAUGCAUCGGAACGUGCCCAGUAGUGGGGGAUAGCCCGGCGAAAGCCGGAUUAAUACCGCAUACGACCUGAGGGUGAAAGGGGGGGAUCGCAAGACCUCUCGCUAUUGGAGCGGCCGAUGUCAGAUUAGCUAGUUGGGGGGGUAAAGGCCUACCAAGGCAACGAUCUGUAGUUGGUCUGAGAGGACGACCAGCCACACUGGGACUGAGACACGGCCCAGACUCCGACGGGAGGCAGCAGUGGGGAAUUUUGGACAAUGGGCGCAAGCCUGAUCCAGCAAUGCCGCGUGCAGGAAGAAGGCCUUCGGGUUGUAAACUGCUUUUGUCAGGGAAGAAAUCCUCUAGGUUAAUACCCUUGGGGGGAUGACGGUACCUGAAGAAUAAGCACCGGCUAACUACGUGCCAGCAGCCGCCGUAAUAC